UGCCAGCAGCCGCGGUAAUACGCAGGGUGCAAGCGUUAAUCGGAAUCACUGGGCGUAAAGCGCACGUAGGCGGAUUAGUAAGUUAGGGGUGAAAUCCCGGGGCUCAACCCCGGAACUGCCUCUAAUACUGCUAGUCUUGAGUUCGAGAGAGGUGAGUGGAAUUCCGAGUGUAGAGGUGAAAUUCGUAGAUAUUGGGAAGAACACCAGUGGCGAAGGCGACUGCCUGGCUCGUAACUGACGCUGAGGUGCGAAAGCGUGGGGAGCAAACAGGAUUAGAUA
rnacentral:rRNA from 1 species